UACAGAGGGGGCAAGCGUUAUUCGGAAUUAUUGGGCGUAAAGGGCUCGUAGGCGGUUUGUCGCGUCGGGAGUGAAAACCAGGUGCUUAACACCUGGCUUGCUUUCGAUACGGGCAGACUAGAGGUAUUCAGGGGAGAACGGAAUUCCUGGUGUAGCGGUGAAAUGCGCAGAUAUCAGGAGGAACACCGGUGGCGAAGGCGGUUCUCUGGGAAUGACCUGACGCUGAGGAGCGAAAGUGUGGGGAGCGAACAGG
rnacentral:rRNA from 1 species